UUUUACAAUGUUAUGGAUGGCACCUCUUAAUAAAAGGAACUUAAGCCAUCCAAUCUAGGGCUUCCAUCAAAUCGUGCAGGCUGCAUGGAAGUCACAUUUACCUUUGCUGUGAACAUCAUGAACACAUACACUAUUUGAAGGUUCAUGUUUACGUAGCAGUGAUGUUGCUUUCCAAUGUGGCGUGUUGUUCAGCCUAUGGUGGUGAAAGAUAUCUGCACCAAGUUGCUGUUCCUUGUGCAUCCAAGGUGCUGGUUUUGUGCUACAGAAGUGACAUCCAAUAUUGUGUUUAAUUGCUAUUUGUGUCUUUGCAGUUAACCUUUAUAUAUUGAGAAGGAACAAAAAAAAAUAGUAAUAUGGGGAGAUUUAUGUCAACCAAAAAAUAAACAUGUCCAGGAUGGGGGAAUGAGGAGAAAGUGGAGAAGGGGCAUUUGGUUAUGAUUUACUAAAAGAAGUGAGGUAUAUUUUUAAUGAAUAUGCAGUACUUGGUGAUAAAAUCUAUUAUUAACCUAUACCUUCCUGUCAACCUAUAACUUCCCCACUUCCACUUACCCAAACCCCAUAAGCACUAAAAUCAAAUCCCACAUCCACUCACAUCCAUUCCUAAAACCCCACAAUCUCCAACAUCAAAUUCACACAAUUUUAUAUCUAUAAUCAUAAUAAAAAAUCAUCAUAUAAAAAUUGUGUAACUUAUAUUUAUUGUGGAACAUAU